rfam:Felis catus isolate Cinnamon breed Abyssinian chromosome A2, whole genome shotgun sequence.
GCCUGGGUGGCUCAGUCGGUUAAGCUUCCGACUUCGACUCAGGUCACGAUCUCACAGUUUGUGGGUUCGAACCUCACAUCGGGCU